UGCUCAGGGAUUUUAGCUGGAGUUGACAAGUUACUUUUUACUGUCUCUAUCUCAUUUCAAGACCUCUCUUGAGGUAGACCAGCUUUGAAGCCUCUUUAUUUUCUCAAGAAUCCUGCAUGUAACUUCCACUGAAGUUCUCGGGAUUUGGCCUUUCAGUCUUCAGAAAAAAUAAAUCAUAGGUAUGUUGCAGAAGUGUAAUCCCACUUGAUAGGUAUGCAAGACCUAAGCACGGUCCUGAUUUCUCCCGAAACUAUACCUCUGUCUUCAAGCAUUGCCAUGAAUUUUGGAUUGUCAGCUGAAAACUCAAACAGAAAACCAGCAGUUGCAGCUUUCAAAAGUUGGAGAGACUAGAGCUUUCAUUUCACAAAUAGUCAAUGUAAGCAGUCCAGAGGCAAUAUUUCAUUGAAGGAAGAACCAGAUGAAAAAAAGAAAAUAAGAAAUCAGGAAGGAAUCCAUUCCAUCCCAAAAGCAAGGGGUUUUUGUCCUCUUUAACUUUAGUGAAGACAGCAUCAUUACAUUGGAACAUGCAACACACACCUCUUUCUGGAGGACUCCCAGCUAGAU